rnacentral:rRNA from 1 species
AUGGAGCAGCCAGCAACCGUCCUUCCUCGAACAUCGACAGAGCUCGCCAGAAGGCACACGGCCGAGGAAAUGGGGAGGAGGAGCAGGCGCAUUUGGACCGGUGCACCCCCGCACCGGCGACGGGUGGCCCGACAUCGGGGCCUCCCAUCCCUCCUAAGAAGUCCCCACGGGACACACCCCGUGUCGCCUCACCAUGGCGGCCGAUGCAGCUCAACGCGAGGCCACCAACGACUGCCCGCCCAUUACCACAGAGAGCCAAGCCACCCUUCACCAGCUGAAGAAGAAAUGGAGAAGAGUAGUUUAUUCUGGUGA